rnacentral:lncRNA from 1 species
GCUCGAGCGGAACCGCCAUAUUUUCCGUGACUCUUGUUCCUCGGUUCUCAAGUUGAUAGAGGAUAUAGAAGAUGAGGCUUCUCAGAGAAAGAUUGUGGGUCGCUUGAGGGAAUAAUUUUUUUUUAGGUUUUUCUUUUUGUUUGUUGUACUUGUGGACCGGCUUCGGCCUUCUUCUAUAUAAAAAAUAGGCACACCUUAGAGUGUGUUUUCCUAAAAAAAAUACGCAUACAUGAGUGAUGUUUUCUAGGCCCUCUUGUUUCGUGGCGUGACACUAUUAUAAAUAAAAAUGGUUUCUAAUUUUGGUAAAACACAACACAUUUCUAAGCAUUUGGAUCGCCAUCCAACCUCACCAAUUUCUAAAUCACUCCUGUAUAACCUAAAACUAGAAAUCACAAUAACAUUUCACUGAAACUGCACACUUCAAAGAUGUAAUCAUAAUCCUUAAUAAUGAGCAAUUUUUCCUGAUCGGAGAAUCUCCAAAAUACAUGAGAAUUAGCGAAAGCGAACUAAUAAAUACAAUUCGUGUCCGUU